rnacentral:rRNA from 1 species
CUUGCUUCUCUUGAGAGCGGCGGACGGGUGAGUAAUGCCUAGGAAUCUGCCUGGUAGUGGGGGAUAACGUCCGGAAACGGACGCUAAUACCGCAUACGUCCUACGGGAGAAAGCAGGGGACCUUCGGGCCUUGCGCUAUCAUAUGAGCCUAGGUCGGAUUAGCUAGUUGGUGAGGUAAUGGCUCACCAAGGCGACGAUCCGUAACUGGUCUGAGAGGAUGAUCAGUCACACUGGAACUGAGACACGGUCCAGACUCCUACGGGAGGCAGCAGUGGGGAAUAUUGCACAAUGGGCGAAAGCCUGAUCCAGCCAUGCCGCGUGUGUGAAGAAGGUCUUCGGAUUGUAAAGCACUUUAAGUUGGGAGGAAGGGUAUUAACCUAAUACGCUAGUGUUUUGACGUUACCGACAGAAUAAGCACCGGCUAGCUCUGUGCCAGCAGCCGCGGUAAUACAGAGGGUGCAAGCGUUAAUCGGAAUUACUGGGCGUAAAGCGCGCGUAGGUGGUUUGUUAAGUUGGAUGUGAAAGCUCCGGGCUCAACCUGGGAACUGCAUUCAAAACUGACAAGCUAGAGUAUGGUACAGGGUGGUGGAAUUUCCUGUGUAGCGGUGAAAUGCGUACAUAUAGGAAGGAACACCAGUGGCGANGCGACCACCUGGACUGAUACUGACACUGAGGUGCGAAAGCGUGGGGAGCAAACAGGAUUAGAUACCUGGUAGUCCACGCCGUAAACGAUGUCACUAGCCGUUGGGAGCCUUGAGCUCUNAGUGGCGCAGCUACGCAUUANUUGACCGCCUGGGAGUACGGCCGCAGGGUAAAACUC